rnacentral:lncRNA from 1 species
UGGAAAUGUGGGUAGGUUUUGGGAGGGGCCCUGGCCUAUAAGUCUGAAAUGCAUUAAAGCAGAGUCUCAAAUAGAAUCAGAGACAUUCUGGGAAUCAUAUUUUGACAAACCAGGGAGAUCUGUGGCUGCAUCUUACAGCACAAAGCCGGUGAAGGAUGUGAGAGUUGAUCCUUACAGGCCAGUUUGGGAAUAAAUUAUUAAAAUCACGGAUGUUUCCAGGCUAAAUUUAGCAGCUUGUCUAAAAGCAGCACUCAAAGGAUUUCAGCUAAAAGAAAGUGUCUUUAAAGAAAUAGUGAGCGUAAAAUGAAAUUCUGUCAUUGUCUGCUCAGUGUCUUGUCAGCUGAAACUCCACUGAACUUCAGAGAAAUAGCAAACACUGAAAGUAAAUACCCAUGUAUCUGUAUGUCUCAGCCUGUGGGAGAAUAAAGGAUACACAUACUGGAUUCUUGGGAUACACAGCAAAGACUUUCUGCAACACUUGUUUGUUGAGCUAUCUGGACUAAUUUGAAGCUUUAUAUUCUUGUUAAAAAGAUGAACCUGUCAAUCUAGAUUUUGUCCCGAAAGACUGAAAUCUUACCUAACCUGAUUAUUAAGCAAGAUUUAAGUUUUGGUGAACUGUGCCUUUAAAAUCUUUCUUUCACCGUGCUUUUAAAAAGUUCCUCAGAGCCAGCUUCUUAACCUGUCACAGUUUAACUUCAAAAUGUAACUGUGAUUAAGAUUAUGAAACCAAAUCUGACUUCCCUGUGUCACUGUUUCUUUUAACUUUUAAGCCAUUUAUCUGAAGCUGCUUACACGGAGCGAGCAGGUAGGAUGGUGCUGUCUCUGCUCAAGGGCACAUCAGCAGGACACGCUUCUCUGCUUCUCACUGGACCACACUGUGAUUCUUACAGGGUUAGGCGUCUCUUUCUGAAACCUUCAUCAUCCUUAUCACAAAAAAGGAGCGAGCCAAUCAAUUCUCAUUUUCCUACUUUUACCGACCACUUAGAGAGCAGCGUGUUUGUGUUUCUACUAACUUUUGUGUCUUUCCCGACAUCUCCAGAAGACAGAUGAGGACUUUAAGAUAAAGGACAGAGUCAUUUUCAACAUUUUUACAUACUUUAUGUUUUGAAAGUCAUUUUCAGGUUUAGUUUUCAUGUUUUAAAUGCCAACUCUAACACUGGUUAUGUUUUAUGACUCUAAAUACACACCUUUGUAAGAAGUCUGUCGCAUGAAUUUGCACUACCGCUUUCAAUCACUCUGCCAUUAUGCCUCAUCGCUUCACUCACUGCUCUUUUCUUCCUCUCCUUUUCAACCAUCAUUUUCUUUUCAGAGAGGCAGCUGUGAAUGAGUCUGUGUAUGUGUGUGUGCGUGAGAGAGAGAGUGUGUGUAUGUGUGUGUCAAAGGAGAAGGAGGUAGGGAGGGAGAGAGAGAGGGAGGGAAGUUUGCCAACUAGUCCUCUCUUUUGAAAACCCAGAGGGCCUGGCUGACUCCUGUCUCCAACAUGGCCGCCGUAAAUCAGUGUGAGAAGGAGCUAAGUUAAUUGCACAGGCGUUUAUGAAGGAGAAAGCCUUGAUUUACUCCAAAAGCUUUACAUCUCCCCUGUGGAUGUAGAGUGAUGAAAGGAGUGGGGCAGGGGAAAAAGGAGAAGUGGGGGAGUGCGGUGGCGUUGGGGACAGGAAGAGCACAUGGGAGCUGUGAACAAAGUUCACUCGCAGCAUUUUAGAUAAGCUGAUUGUUAAACUAGAUUAUGUGCAGAUAUGAAUCUAUCGCCUUGGGUAUAAAAACUUGUCAGGAGUCACAUUGACUUUAGUUUUAUUAUUAUGGAGUCCAGUAAAAGAGCAACACCAAAUAAACUUAUUUACAUAUAUUUGCAUAAUGUGCAUAGUGUGCAAAAGAUUUAUGUAUGUAACAAUUAGUCACCGUGUAUGUAUCCAUCCUUCUAGCAUCAACAAAUUUACAUUUUGGAAAAAAAAAAAAAAAACAGAUAAAAACUUAAAAAGUGGAUAGUAUUGAACCACUGCUGUGUAACAUAGUAACAGCUGUGAGUCCAGGACUACAGUCUUAGAUUUACCGUCUCAUGACUCCAUGAUUUGGACUCAAGUAAGGACUCAGCAUGGACUUGGAAAUGAGUAUUUAACUUCACAGGACAUAGAAUAUUAAAAAAGGAGAGGUGGACAUGUAAUAUUUUUUUUAAAAAUAACAUAAACAAGUUGAAAUAUCAACAUAUGUGAACAGUUUUUCUUUAUUGUAUUUCUUCUUCCAUAAAUGCACCAAUCCAUCUAUCUAUCUAUCUAUCUAUCUAUCUAUCUAUCUAUCUAUCUAGCUAGCUAGCUAGCUAGCUAGCUAGCUAUAUAUAUAUAUAUAUACACACACACACCUUUUUUUUUUGUUGGAAGAUGAGCAGGUAAAAAUACUUGUUAACAAAACUAAACCCCACAUAGCGAAUGGCUGAACUGCGUUCUUGAAUCAGGUUUUCCAUCUGGAGCAACUUUAAUUUGACGCCAUUCUCAGCUCUGGCAAUUGAGGUAAACGCACCAUUAACCUCAAGUCCCGACAGCAAGAGAUGUAAAUAUUAGAUAUAGGAGCCAAGACGAGUUAUUUUUAGCGUAAUGAAAUGUCCUUAUUUGCUCUGCAUGUCAGCAAACAGGCAAAGAAACGAUUACUUUUUCGAUAAGCCUCUAACUCUGUUUUUUUUUUUACAAACAUUUGCUUCAUUGUUUUGUCUUUGCAGAGGGAGAGGACCAGUGACUUCAGAAAGCAUCAUCAUCAUCACUUCCUUGCCCCCUUUCAGUAAAGCAUGUACACGAUUGUGCAUUUUGUAAUUUUAAUAUUUAAGGCGUAGCAGCCAAACCGAAAACCUGACUCAUCUAGCGCUACCUUAAGUGACUUUUACAUUUCUUAAAAUAACUUAAAUUAUUCACAGACGUUCAUUGUCACGCCCCUCAUUCAGUGUGCAGCAGAAAGGAGAGUGUGUGUCUUUGUCUUCACUGCUUUUUUUUAAUACAACUGCAUUAUGUUGGCUUUAGAUUUGUUUGUUUGUUUGUUUGUUUUGCUGCUAAUUCAAAGAGGACAUGGAUUGUUGAAACCGCGUUAGAGUACACCCAAAAACAAAAAUGAGUCCUCAAAUGUAAACUACGUAAGCGCUACAAAAAUGUGAAAUGUUCAGGGUUGUUGUUUUGAGUCUGCAACCAAACAACAAAGCGAACAUAGCGUGAAACUGUGAAUCAAGCUUUGUAAAUUAGCAGUGGUGACAAUCUUUCUGUGAGCAGAAACACAUCCUGACCUCCACAAAGAAGCCGCAGAGAAGAAGUUUGAAGUGUUCUCAUGCUCUCCGAACAUCUGUUUUAUCCACAAAGAGACCCAUUAACACUUCACCUCUCUUUUCCCCUUUCUUCCACAUUUAGCAGUAACAGCUAGUGUCUGCAUCAUGGGCUUCUUUCCUGUGUCAUGAUGCUAUCAAGGUUUCGACUGUUCAUUUGGCAGCUGCGAGAUGCAUACAGCCCCCUCACACACACACAGACACGCACACACACAGUGAACAAGGAGGUGGAAGUGGUGGAGAACCGUUGAGGCCGUGGUUUCGGAGGCACGCCUGUGUGGCUGAUGGAGGAAAACAUUCGUUAGAGCGAAGGAGACGAGGUGAGACAGAGGAAGACAGAAUAAUGAAAAUUCAGGAUGGCUUUGAAUGUAGUUGUACUGAAACUACAAGGAGGGUUAAGAGUGAAAGGAAGCUUUAAUUUUACCACAUGCUGUACUUGUGGCUUUAAGAAAAACUCGCAUACAUCAUCUUUAAUUUCAAGUUCGAACAGUUGUAAGCCAUAUAUACUAGCUUUCUUGUGUUUUUUCCCUGAACACUCUUAUCAUUAGCUUCGAAUAUAUCUUUUUCUACAGUUUGAAAGUUUUGAUAUGUAAAUUUUUAGAAAAUCAGUCCCACUAGCAGCUUUUAAAAACAGUAUAGGUGUGUGUGCUCAUUCCUCACACAUUUUUCAAGUGAUACUUUACAUUACACUAAACUUAUAGACAACGCUUUACAGGAAAAGUUUUAACAUUAUUUUGAGUGACAAAAAUAUGUAUAAAAAAGUAAAGAAUAAGUUAUGUUUCCUUUGUAUUUAAGCACUGCGGCAUACUAGGACUUCUUAUACCAGCAAUGAAAAACAUAGGGACAGCAGUCCAAAUUGUGUGCACAGCAAUGUUGGCCCGGCACCAAAAGGGCACAAAAAGGACACGUACCGACGCAGAGCUGGAUGGUGACGCAGGUGUGAAUUAAUUUACCUUGUUAUUUGGUUUUCUCCCUGAAUUUAUCACCACAUUCACGGCCCACUUUUUUCUGCCUUUAAUUUUUCUUUCAGGGAUCGUGAUAAGUCCCAUCUCCACAUUAGAUUUAUAUCAUUCCCUCAUGUUUCUUGUCUUGCAUUUCCUGUUUUAUUUUGAUAAUCUUGUCUCUUGUUCCAGGUCUGUUGACUUCUUGCUCCUCUGUGUUUCCUGCUCCUCUGAUUACUCCAAUGUGUCUCACCUGUGUCUUCUUAUCUUCACUCCUCUGGUGAAUUUAAGCACAGUGUUCCCUCACUUCAGUGCUUCAUCUUCGGUUUUGUACUUCAGCAGUCCAGUCAUUUCCCUCCAUGUUUGUUGCCCAUGUGUUUCAGUAGUUCUAUAUCAUGUUCACACCAAAAACAAACAAAAAAAGAAAGAAAUGUUAACUUGCAUAAUUCAUGUGUAUUUGGACGCCUUAGUGUUGGCUGUUUACUCGCUUAAUUUACUCAAAUGACUCACUAUAUUCGCUCGUAUGUGGGAGUGCACAAACACGAGGAAAGAAGGAUUCCUGUCAGUCUGUUUACAUCAAACAGAGCUGAGGUUGACCACAUUUUAAGGAUCUAUUGCAUUUUUACUACUUACCAUAUAAUCUGACCUCUUCACUGACUGUCUUCCUCUUUUUAUUCCUCAUAUUAAGAACAUAUUGUUUCCUAUAGCCCCGGUAUCUACAUACCGUCACAAUCAGUCGGUCCUCCAUUUUCCUCAUAAAUUAAUCUUGCUAAGUAAUCUGAACACUGAUUGGCUUUUACAAGGCUGACCAUACGUCCUCUUUGAACCGGACAUGUCCUCUUUUUGGGGGGCUGUCCGGCCUGUUCGGCCUUGUCCGGGGGAGUUUAUAAAAUCCUUCAAAUAUCUGGGGUUUUGUAAGUAAGUUUUGAGUUUGUGUGGUGUGGACUUACUGGGCUCUAUUUUCGUGCUUCGCCGGAGACCUGGCGCAGGCGCGGCGUAAGUCAGUUCUGCCGCACCGACAAGGUGUUCCAUAGAUGUUGACAUAUAAAAUAAAUUAGGCUUGCAAAACUGAAUAUUAUAAUAUUCGUAUGUAGGCUUAAAGUAAAUAACUCAUCUGAUCACUGAAACAAAUCAUCUGUUCAGCCGCUGCAGCAGCAGGACGGGGAGAGGACACGGAGACGUGUCCAGGUCGAGCUGUGCGAGAAAUAAGAGAAAGAGGAAGAAAGAAAAGGAGGGAGACAAAUUACAUAUCUUGUUCACUUCAUCAUGUGUGUCUAUUUACUAGAUAUUUGAUUUAAUUUAAUGCCGUUUCAGCUGUGUUGAUUCGGUCAGGUUGUGUGUCCAAACGCGCUCAUCAGAUCAGAUAUAGAUCAGUGGUCCACCAUCCUCCGCCGCCUCACCCGCGGACACGAAAAUAGAGCCCACUGAGUUAGAAGGGUGUAAAAAACACUAGAUCGACCUGAAAAACUUAAAAUUUACUACACGCAACUCUGUGACUCCGCGACUCCGUUCCCAUGUAGUUGUGUCCUCUUUUUGGGUAUUCAGAAUAUGGUCACCCCACUUUUACCGUGUGAAUACUUUUGCUUGAGUUCAGAUUUUCUUCAACUCUCAGUGGGAGUUGAAAGUGUCGUGAAUUUGCAAAAUUUGUUCUGAAAGUCCCAAAGUUUUAAUCCUAAGUCUUUUACAUCACCUGGAAAGUUUUCAUCUCAAUGAAGAUGAAUUGGAGAAAAUGUGAAGCGGCAGUAGCAGCACCAAGAAAAUAGUCAGUGCCAUAGUGAAGUUGCAACAGGUAUUUGAGGACAGCGUAAGGUUUUCCAGGGACACAAAAGCCAUAAUAAUUCAUGACAUUAUUGAUGAAUUAACUGCACUUGAUGACCCAAUUUAUUCCAAGCUCCAGGAUCUCACCAGCUAACUGUGGUUGUUAAUGAUAAGAAACACCCGUGCCAUUAUAGACUAGUUGUGUUUGUAGCUAACUAGCAAUGCUGUGUGUAAUAUUCGAGUUAAAUGUGUGUCCGUCAUGAAAUAAGUACCACUAGUUACUGCCAAAAAAAGCUAUGCAGGCUUUUUUAGAAAGUCAUUUAAUCCCUAUAUUGUUAGAAAUUUCAAAAGUAUGCAUAGCGAUUAUUAUUUUCUGAAAGUACAGUCUUACAUUUCCUCCUGUCAGCCAAAGAGAGCCGUAAUUUUCACUCAUUAUGAGCAAUGAAUCUCUUUUUGAGAAGAGUUGUCACUUUCUUGCCUCGGAGUGUAGCUCUUUGUGGUACAAAACUCUUCAAAUGCUUCUUUUAUACGGCGCUGUGACCUCAAUAGAGAAAUCUACAAUCCUCCCCCUCCGCUUGGCGCCCCGUGUUCUCAGGUGCUUGAAUCCCCUUAGUUUUACUCCGGAGGGGAUUUGAGCAUCAUGAAUAUGGAUGUGACGACGAUGAUGAACCUCGAUGAUGAAGGUAGUUUGGUCCUCUUUCAGAUAAGCGCUAAUCGCAUUUGGAGAGCGUGGCGGCACAGCUAGGUGUAAACUUGGCCAAUGGCGUUAUGCGGAUGGGGGUUGCGGGGUUGAGUGAAGGUGCUCUGGUGUGGGGAUAUGUGCGUGCAUGUGUGUCAAUGUAGGUGUGUAAGGCUAUCGCUCUAUGCAGCCUCGAAUCACUCGCCCUGGAAGAAAGCAGUGGGUGAGGUGCAGGAUGUUAUCUGAGCACUCGUAAUCCUAAACAAGGGAUUGAUCUCUUGACUCCUCCCCCUCACUUCUUUCUUCCUUUCUCCUCUCCUUUACCCUCUCUCCUCUCACCUGUUUUCAUCCAACUGUUUUUUCACACCACUGACUGUCAUUUAGAGCGAGAUGAGGGGUUAUAAUUAGCCAAGUUAUCCUUCUUCAUAUUCAAAUUUCCCAUCUAAUCUCUCUGCAGAUUUCUAAUGAGGAAACAGAAUUGGCUUGACUGUUCACAUCAGAAGACGUGAUUGCUCAAAUCACCUAGCAACAGAAUAAACCUUAUCUCCAUGUUCACUGCCAUUGUUGUCUCAAUAGGUCCAGCAUCGAUGAAGAUACCUCUAUCUGCCUGCCUUGAUAUAUUUGUGGUACUCCAAACUCUUGAAAAUCCUCUUUCUGUCUGUCAUCUAACAAGCCAUAUUACAGCCCACUCAGCUCAUUGUCGUAUUACUUCUUAAAAGACUUCCUUCAUCUCAUUAUUUUAGAUACCUCCAGGUGCGCGGCUUUGCUUCAAGUGACUUUACACGCUACUCCAAUCAUCCUCCAGAAGAUCUAACGUUUUUAGUUCUUAACAUAAAUCCCUUCAGAGAGGAUUUGGUCUCUAAAAUAUACAACAUGAUCCAGAACAAGAUUCCCCCACUCACUGGACAAAACUAAAGCUUCUUGGGAGAUAGAUAUCAAGAAAUCCAUUAAAAAAAACUUGGCAGGACAUUAUUUUACAUAUAAAUACUUCAUCUUUCUGUGUUCGACAUUGAGUUAUUUCGUCUAAAGUAGUCCAGGCUUCAUAAUUCAAAUGAUAAAUUGGCAAAGCUUUACCCUAACAUUAAGCCAGUGUGCCCCAGAAGUCAGUAUUCUCCAGUGUCCCCUGGUCAUGUCUAUCUUUGGCCAAUUUGUGGAUAUUAGUUUUUAGUUCUCUCUGAGCAAUAAGUGGAAAAACAAUAAAUCCUGACCUCUUACUGCAAUUUUUGGAGUGGUAGGGGGAGAGUGGAAGCUCUUAUACUUGCAGAAAUGCAGUUGCUUUGGAAACAAUGAGUUACUCUAAACGAGAGGUCAGUAAAAAUGUUCAAUAAGACUCAGUCAUUAUUUUUUACAUGUUAAAAGCUUGUGCCAUCUUGAGGUGUUUGGCUGUUCUAAAUAUGAAAACUGCAAACUUGAUGAUAACAAAAAGUAGAGAUGAGCGAUGUCAUUUCUUUUUUUCUUAGAUAUGGUGUUGAUACUGCAACAGCCUGAGUAAGAUUGACCUUGUUUUUUUUUUUACUAUUGUAAGAUUCUAUUGUGCUCUUUGCAAACCCUAAUGUUUGCCUGCUGAAGGGGAUUGGGGUUGAUGAUGGGAGUUCUUGGAUGUCAUGAUCACUCUACUGGUGUUAAUGUGUGUAACUCUAUUUCUAAAAAAUUACUAUAAAUAAAGUUAAAAACAAUUUUUUUUUUCAGAGUAAAAGGCCACAAGUUGAACUCAAAUUUGACUCUCCCACAACCUUAUGUACGUGAAUCUGAAUAUCAUGAUUCUACAGCGAUUUUCCCCCCAGUUUAAAAAAAGAAAGAAUUGUCUUCAUCUGACUUUUAAGAUUGAACUUUUCCCUGCUGGUGGGACGGAAAAACCUCUAUGAUGUCUUACUAACUGAAGGAUGUCACAUCGCAAGCAUCAUCCAGUUAUUUUUGAGUGAAAUAUCUCUUUACAAGCCCCCAUCUGGGGUAUGACUUACACGGUUUUUCAAAGUUCGUGUUCGGCUUGAAAAACAAAAGCUGGUGAGCUAAUGUAAAGUCUAAAGCUGUGUUUACACACACGCACACAAAACUCAAAAAUUUUCACCCUAACAUUUUCGGGACCUUGCCCUGCUCGUCCUCUUGUGAAAUUUCCAGAGUGAGGGUCAAUAGAUAUGAGAAGGAGCUUGAAAUAUAACCGGGUGAUGAUGGUUAUUUCAUGUGACUGAGGAAAACCAAGAAGAGUAAAAAAAGAAAAAAAAAGUUGAAGAGGGAUAAUUAUUUCCAAGACCAGAACAACAGAUGUCUUCACAUCAAUCUGUCAGCCUAUUGUGCUGAUAUCAUGAUAGCGUCUCUGAUGCUUCCUUUGCCACCAUGUUGUACACAUUACACUGUGGCUUUGCAGCAUGCUUUGCUUCCAGGGAUUUAUCCUACAGGGGAGACUUCGUGCUGUGAGCGACAUGUGUAAACAAGCAACUUUGUAAAUUUCAGGGGUUUAAAUCUUCCGAUUUCCAGGAGUGCAUGUGUCAAAUCAGCACAAGUGGUAGCUGACCAAGUUGAUCAAUUGUGUCUCUGAUUCCUAAAAAAAAAACCAAAUUCAUAUUUUUUUUUCUUAUUUCAGCAUUCCAUUAUUUCAUUGGGAGCUUACAUAAAUCAGAUCCAUCUAUGUUUUACAUUUGGGCAUUUUUAUACCGUAUUUCUCCUUCUCUUAUAAUGGUUUACUAUUGUAGAAACCUUUGGGACUAUGUCGCUCUCACAAUCAUCAUGUCCUUGAGUAUUUCACUGGCAUUAUUUGGGAAUUUAUGAAGUAAAAAUAAAAUAAUGCGAUCCUUACAUGUUUCAUGUUACAGCUUUCUCAUGCCACACCUUAUAAAGUUUGUAAAUGUGUUGAAAUACGAUCACAUCAGCGGACCUUCACCUCCCAGUUUACCCUUAUCCUCAAUAUUUUACCAUAUUCCGUGCUGAUAUCAGGCCUGUUUUAUUCAGCACAGGGCUGACUCCUCUCUGAGGCAGGGGUUGUGUCACAAGGAUGCAGUGAAGCUUGCUUGACGUGUAUAUAAAAAAAUAAAAAAAAACGCUCGGCUCCACUCACCUCAGGGUGUGUGGUGCAUCCAUGGCGUAUGGCCUACAUGCUCGCUCAAGCAUAAGCCGAUGUAGCCUCUGCCUCCCUGGCGCUGCAGCUCUGACUUUGUCAUUUAUCUUAGAUGGGUUUUUAUAAUGCGCAGGAAGAAAAUUCAAUGUUUGGAGACUCGGGGUCAGGCAGUGGCGAUCCUAAUAUUUAUUUGUAUGCAUUGCAUUGUUUUAUGGUUUUGGUUUCAGAGCCUUAAAGAGCAACUUUGCAGGAUCGCUUUGCUGGAAUGAGCUUUAUUUGUCAUUCUCCAGCAUUAAAUAACAACCGCUCCUCAGCCAGACGACAGAUUAAAUAACAUCAGCGCUUCUGUAAGGUUAAUAUAUCCUAGGAAAGUAUUGGGUUAUAUAAUAAAUGAAUGGUAAAUGAAGGUAGAUAGGUGUGGUCAAAUGCUGAAGAAAGUGGCAAAGGAGAAUGAGGAGAGAAGGGUGAGCUGAGGGAGCACAGGGCAUAAAUUAUUUCUUGAAAAGAAAGGAGAGUCUGCUGGUUAUGAUGGAAAAUAAGCAGCAAGAAUUCUAAAUUACAGUGUUUUCUUUCACUCCGACUGAGGAAACACCUUCAAAAAAGAUAGAUCAGUCAUGAUUCUCCAAUAUUUACUUAUGUGUCUAAGGCUGAAGUUGAAUAAAGAUUUCCUGAUAAACCAACUGAGUGAAGAAAUUUAUGAACAUGACUGUGGUCCCUUUGGAGACAGUUUACAUGCGCCAUAAAGCAAAUAUCUUUGCUUUACACACUGAAAAGUAUGAAGCUAAUUUGUACAGCUCAGAUCUGGUUC